rnacentral:rRNA from 1 species
UACGUAGGGUGCGAGCGUUAUUCGGAAUUACUGGGCGUAAAGCGUGCGCAGGCGGUUUUGUAAGUCUGUCGUGAAAUCCCCGGGCUCAACCUGGGAAUUGCGAUGGAGACUGCAAGGCUAGAAUCUGGCAGAGGGGGGUAGAAUUCCACGUGUAGCAGUGAAAUGCGUGAGAGAUGUGGAGGAACACCGAUGGCGAAGGCAGCCCCCUGGGUCAAGAUUGACGCUCAUGCACGAAAGCGUGGGGAGCAAACAGGAUUAGAGUACCC